rnacentral:rRNA from 1 species
AUGGGACUUUUUAAAUUUCCAGUCUCGUUAUGUGAGGAGUUAGCUCAGAUAAUAAGAAAUUUCUGGUGGGGAGACGAAGAGGAUAGGAGGAAAACCCACUGGUUAGCUUGGGACAAACUUACAAAACCAAAAGGACAGGGAGGCAUGGGGUUCCGUGACCUAAGAUUAUUUAACCAAGCACUGUUAGCUAAACAGGCCUGGCGUUUAUUGCUUUACCCAGAGUCGUUGUGUGCUAAGAUUUUGAAGGCAAAGUAUUAUCCCAAUGGUCACAUCUUGGAUACAGUUUUCCCGCAAGCCACGUCCGUGAAUUGGCAAGGUAUCAUGCAUGGUCUGGAACUGUUAAAACAAGAGGUCAUAUGGAGAGUGGUCGAUGGUAAAAAUGUUAACAUUUGGAGAGAUAACUGGCUCCCAAGAAUUUCGGGACUAAAAAUUACAGCUAAAAAGCAUCGAACCAAGCUGAAGUGGGUGUCAGAAUUAUUCAUGAGCGGGACGAGAAGAUGGAAUGAAAAUUUGAUUAGGCAUUCAUUCUUUCAUCAUGAUGCCGAAGAGAUCCUAAACAUAUGCAUUCAGUCUGUGGGAGAAGGUGAUCUAGUUGCUUGGCACUAUGAGAAAAGUGGUAUGUUCUCUGUGAAAAGUGCGUACAGACUGACUUUAAAUCUCAAGGACAACAGGGGUGAGACAGGAAUAUCCAGUGCUGCUGUUAAUGAGGAAAGAAGACUGUGGGACGCUAUUUGGAAGACUAAGGUUCCGCAAAAAAUUAGAAUUUUUGCUUGGAGAGCUGCGACCAACAGUUUGGCGGUUCAGGUGAAUAGAGUGACUCACCAUCAAACGAUCUCCAGUAUGUGUACUAUAUGUGGAGUUCAGAUAAAAAUAUCUUCCAUGCUCUGGUGA